rnacentral:lncRNA from 1 species
CAGACACAUCAAAAUCUCCUUUUACUUUGGGUCCUUUCAAAUCCAGGUCAACAUCAGGUAUGGAGAUCUUGGGAGCUUUGAUAUUUAUUUCAGGCAUCUUGAACUUGGGGCCCUUUAGUUUCGCAUCUGGACCUUCGAUAUUCACAUCAGGAACAUCAACGUCCACUUUGGGUCCUGAGACAUCAAUGUCAGCCUUGGGCAGGUUCACAUCCACAUCUGGGCCCUCUCCUUUGAAGCCAGGCAUGCUGAACUUGGGCAUUUUCACUUUGGGCAUUUUUAAGUGCCAGUCUGGGCCUUGAACGUCCACAUCUGGGACAUCAAUGUCCACUUUGGGGCCCUUGAUGUCAACUUCAGGGCCCUUGAGGUCGCCUUCCACUUUGGGCAGAGAAACGUCCACGUCGCCCUUCAUCUGGGACAUCAAUGUCCACUUUGGGGCCUUUGAGGUCAACUUCAGGACCUUUCAGAUCUCCCUCUACC